rnacentral:rRNA from 1 species
UACGAAGGGGCUAGCGUUGCUCGGAAUCACUGGGCGUAAAGGGUGCGUAGGCGGGUCUUUUAAGUCAGGGGUGAAAUCCUGGAGCUCAACUCCAGAACUGCCUUUGAUACUGAGGAUCUUGAGUUCGGGAGAGGUGAGUGGAACUGCGAGUGUAGAGGUGAAAUUCGUAGAUAUUCGCAAGAACACCAGUGGCGAAGGCGCUCACUGGCCCGAUACUGACGCUGAGGCACGAAGGCCAGGGGAGCAAACGGG